UUGACAAACGCUAUGUCUUUAUAGAUGUAGAGGAAAGUCCAUGCUCACACAGUCUGAAAUGAUUGUAGUGUUCGUGUCUAGGAAAAAAAUAACCUAGAGUAGGGCUCACGCUCUAACGGCGAAGUAAAGAUCUAAGUCUUUUGAUAUGAUCUUCUUCUGAAAAGUGCCGCAGUGACGAAUCUUUGGGAAACUAAAGAGUGAAACGUGGUAAACCCCGCGAGUGAGAAACCCAAAUUAUGGUAGGGGAGCUUUGAUUAGGAAAUAACAACCGAGUCAGGGACUGAGAAAUCAGUAGAUAAAUGUUUGUCACCUAGCAAUAGGUACAGAACAUGGCUUAUAA
rnacentral:RNase_P_RNA from 1 species